rnacentral:lncRNA from 1 species
UCUCUCGUAUUUCAAAAAGUCUUUAAUGCCAGCAGUCGAAAUUGGGGCUCGAGAUGAUAUAUGAUAACUCCCUUCGUCCAAUGUGACAGACCACAUACCAACGUGUACGUCAGACUAUCUUGGACUCGGGAGUGGGGGAAAAAUGUUGGGACAAUUCGACCGACCUCCAAUUCUGACUCAAAAUCAGCCUCACAAGCACAAAGUACCGAUUAAUAAUCAGUCGGCC